AGAGUUUGAUCAUGGCUCAGAUUGAACGCUGGCGGCAUGCCUUACACAUGCAAGUCGAACGGCAGCACGGGGGCAACCCUGGUGGCGAGUGGCGAACGGGUGAGUAAUACAUCGGAACGUGUCCUGGAGUGGGGGAUAGCCCGGCGAAAGCCGGAUUAAUACCGCAUACGAUCUCUGGAUGAAAGCGGGGGACCGAAAGGCCUCGCGCUCAAGGGGCGGCCGAUGGCAGAUUAGCUAGUUGGUGGGGUAAAGGCCUACCAAGGCGACGAUCUGUAGCUGGUCUGAGAGGACGACCAGCCACACUGGGACUGAGACACGGCCCAGACUCCUACGGGAGGCAGCAGUGGGGAAUUUUGGACAAUGGGCGCAAGCCUGAUCCAGCCAUGCCGCGUGUGUGAAGAAGGCCUUCGGGUUGUAAAGCACUUUUGUCCGGAAAGAAAACCUCGUGGUUAAUACCCGUGGGGGAUGACGGUACCGGAAGAAUAAGCACCGGCUAACUACGUGCCAGCAGCCGCGGUAAUACGUAGGGUGCAAGCGUUAAUCGGAAUUACUGGGCGUAAAGCGUGCGCAGGCGGUUCGCUAAGACAGAUGUGAAAUCCCCGGGCUUAACCUGGGAACUGCAUUUGUGACUGGCGGGCUAGAGUAUGGCAGAGGGGGGUAGAAUUCCACGUAGCAGUGAAAUGCGUAGAGAUGUGGAGGAAUACCGAUGGCGAAGGCAGCCCCCUGGGCCAAUACUGACGCUCAUGCACGAAAGCGUGGGGAGCAAACAGGAUUAGAUACCCUAGUAGUCC
rnacentral:rRNA from 1 species